UUUGGCUUAGAACGAGUUGGAUACAAGCAAAGAUGACCAUGAAUGGGUAGUUUGAUGUUUGGCACUUCACAUGAUGUCCAUGCUUGUGGAAGCAAUUGGACCUUUUCACAGCCCUGAUUACAACAGAGGUAAGAAAAUUAAUAUUUAUUAAGAUAAUUUACUAUUGUUUUAAGAAAAAAGAAAUAAUUAACUGAUACAUAUAAACAAGUUAUUGUGACUAUAAAUCUUAAGUAAAAAAAAAUAAGUGUUUUAAUGUAAAAGUUUUGUCCCCUUUUUACUAAAAAAAAUAGUAAAUUAAUUCCUAUAUGUUAAAUUAAAAAACAAAUCGAUCUUUUCAGUUCAAAUUUUCUUCUAAUUCUACUAUUAACAAUAGACAUGGUUGAUAGAAUAAUCACGCAAUUACACAUGGCGUGCCACGUGUACCUCAUAUCGACAUAGAGGGGUCAAUUUUUAACCGUAAAUAUGGGUGAAAUUUUUAACCGAAUGGCUAGUUUUCUCUUUGAUCUAAUAUAUAGAGAUUAAUUUACUCAUUUUUUGAGUAAAUGGGACAAAAUUCACUCCGACUCAUAGUACAAGGGUCUCUAUGAUACUUUUUUCGUAUUUUGGAUUUCAAACUUCAAAGUCACAAAAUCCAUUUUCUCUAGACUAUGUACUUACACCAUACUAAUUGAUGCUGUGAUAGUGUAACCAAUGGUUAUUCCAACAAGAUUUGCAUAUUGAGCCAAUCCACAAAGCUGAACUUUUCUUCCUCCUGGAGAAAAAAAAAUAAAGACAAUUUUUUAUACACACACAAUAAAGAAGCAUUGGGUUUGAUGUUUCAUUAAUCAUCUUGACAAAAACCAAGUUGGAUUUCGGGAUUGAAUUGAAAUAUGUACAUGGGGAAAAAGUAAUUUUCUUUCUUGGAACUGUAAAACAGGUUAAAGAGGUAGCAGUACAAAUUAUAUGAAACGUGGUAAGUUAUAAAUCAUUUUUGUGUAUGUAUAUUAAUAUGAAGAUGAAAUGGUGAUAUAAUAUAUUAAAUAAUAUACCUAAGUAAGCUCUAACAACAUCCAUGUAGGUAUAGUUUCUCUUUCCAUGGACAGGAUCAGGAGCCCUAUAGCAGUCAGCAAGAAGGGUAGAAGUGAAGUAGGUGAUGAAGGAGAAAGCCAUGAGAACUGCUGGUCCAGCCACCCAUC
rnacentral:lncRNA from 1 species